GUCCAGGGUAGCCUAGUGGACAUGGCAUCUGCCCGGUGGGCGGAAGGUUGUGGGUUCGAUUCCCGCACCUGGACA
rnacentral:tRNA from 1 species